rnacentral:rRNA from 1 species
UUUGUUUUGUGGCAGACGGGUGAGUAAUGCGUAGGAAUCUACCUAGUAGUAUGGAAUAGCUAUUAGAAAUGAUGGGUAAUACUGUAUAAUCCCUGCGGGGGAAAGAUUUAUCGCUAUUAGAUGAGCCUACGUUAGAUUAGCUAGUUGGUAAGGUAAUGGCUUACCAAGGCUAUGAUCUAUAGCUGGUCUGAGAGGACGAUCAGCCACACUGGAACUGAGAUACGGUCCAGACUCCUACGGGAGGCAGCAGUGGGGAAUAUUGGACAAUGGGCGAAAGCCUGAUCCAGCUAUGCCGCGUGAGUGAAGAAGGCCUUCGGGUUGUAAAACUCUUUCAAUAGGGAAGAUAAUGACGGUACCUAUAA